rnacentral:rRNA from 1 species
ACGGGUGAGUAAUACAUCGGAACGUGCCCUGUAGUGGGGGAUAACUAGUCGAAAGAUUAGCUAAUACCGCAUACGACCUGAGGGUGAAAGUGGGGGACCGCAAGGCCUCAUGCUAUAGGAGCGGCCGAUGUCUGAUUAGCUAGUUGGUGAGGUAAAGGCUCACCAAGGCGACGAUCAGUAGCUGGUCUGAGAGGACGAUCAGCCACACUGGGACUGAGACACGGCCCAGACUCCUACGGGAGGCAGCAGUGGGGAAUUUUGGACAAUGGGCGAAAGCCUGAUCCAGCAAUGCCGCGUGUGUGAAGAAGGCCUUCGGGUUGUAAAGCACUUUUGUCCGGAAAGAAAUGGCUCUGGUUAAUACCUGGGGUCGAUGACGGUACCGGAAGAAUAAGGACCGGCUAACUACGUGCCAGCAGCCGCGGUAAUACGUAGGGUCCAAGCGUUAAUCGGAAUUACUGGGCGUAAAGCGUGCGCAGGCGGUUGUGCAAGACCGAUGUGAAAUCCCCGAGCUUAACUUGGGAAUUGCAUUGGUGACUGCACGGCUAGAGUGUGUCAGAGGGGGGUAGAAUUCCACGU